UUGCAGGAAAUGCAAAUAAUCUAGUUUAUUUGGAUUUAGAUAGCUGAAGCAAAAAUCAAACACUGGAUUUUUAAUUAGUUAGAGAAUAAAAACAACAAAAACGUGGUUUCUUUUUCUUUAAACGUUAAAAAACCAAAGAAUGACCUGCACGCAGAAUUGUUUACCAUUUCAGCCUAAUGUAUGGAUCGGCUCUARAUGGACGGAGCAGAUAUAUCUGUCCAACACCCUCAGCUGGUUCACAAACGUAAAGAAACACUUGUUUCCUGGGGAAGCUGUACACGGCAGGUCUGGACGGCGUUCGAAGCUGGCAGAAACAGAGGUUUUGUUGCGACGACACCUUUAAUCCUCCAACAAAUAAAAGUCKGAUUAUUGCUGUCGGUGGGUCUUUUCCAGGUGAGUCACAGAGAGCGGUAACAUCCAGAACAUAAAGGCUGCAGCUGCUCCCGGGAGGCCKACCACACGCCAAUGAGAAUAUGAUUUAAAAGCCUUUUUACCUCCACAAGCCCAAAGAAAUCCUGCUUUUUCUCAGAUUCUGUCACCGAACGUCCUGCUUUUUUUACUUUUCCCUUCAGCCUCCGUGUCAGAUGUGCACAGGUUUGAUGUUUGUAACUGAAGGUGUAAUUAAAUCUGUUAUAAUUAUCUGUUGUUGAAGAACAGCAGGUUAAAAGGCUCAGAUGAGGAUCAAUGAGGCCUUGUUAUCCUGUUUGCAUGUUUUUACUCUGUAAAUUGUCAGAAAAUGGGUCAGCGCUCCCUUUGAGGAAAGAAAACUAUUAUAAAUUUGGCUGCUUGGUUUAAAAAAAAAAAAGAAGCUAAACUUUUAACGAGGUACUUUAAGAAAGCAACA